UACGGAGGGUGCAAGCGUUAUCCGGAUUUACUGGGUUUAAAGGGUGCGUAGGCGGCGCGGUAAGUCGGGUGUGAAAUCUCGGAGCUUAACUCCGAAACUGCAUUCGAUACUGCCGUGCUUGAGGACUGGAGAGGAGACUGGAAUUUACGGUGUAGCGGUGAAAUGCGUAGAUAUCGUAAGGAAGACCAGUGGCGAAGGCGGGUCUCUGGACAGUUCCUGACGCUGAGGCACGAAGGCCAGGGGAGCAAACGGGG
rnacentral:rRNA from 1 species